rnacentral:rRNA from 1 species
GACGAACGCUGGCGGCGUGCUUAACACAUGCAAGUCGAACGGAAAGGCCCUGCUUUUGUGGGUUUCUCGAGUGGCGAACGGGGGAGUAACACGUGAGUAACCUCCCCUUAUCAUUGGGAUAACUUCAGGAAACUGGGGCUAAUACCGGAUAGGAGCUCCUGCUGCAUGGUGUGGGUUAGAAAGUGUCGGCGGUGUGGGAUGGACUCGCGGCUUAUCAGCUUCUUGGUGGGGUAGUGGCGUACCAAGGCUAUGACGGGUAGCCGGCCUGAGAGGGUGACCGGCCACAUUGGGACUGAGAUACGGCCCAGACGCCUACGGGAGGCAGCAGUGGGGAAUAUUGCACAAUGGGCGGAAGCCUGAUGCAGCAACGCCGCGUGCGGGAUGACGGCCUUCGGGUUGUAAACCGCUUUCGCCUGUGACGAAGCGUGAGUGACGGUAAUAGGUAAAGAAGCACCGGCUAACUACGUG